rnacentral:lncRNA from 1 species
GGGCGCGGAUCAAUACUCAGGGUGUCAGCGAGUUCUUUUACUUGGGCUAAUGUUAAGUUCAUUCCUGUCUUCAUCGUCUUCAAGUAUAUUUCGAGAUGAAAGUAUUGUUCCAGAAGAAUAAGAGGGAUCCGUAUCUGUUCCAGUAGAAGGAUAAAGUAAAGGCCUUGAAGCGGUAAGUAGAUCAUUGUAUGGGUUGUGCUACAGUUGCGCUUAAGGCUGCUCCGGAGUUAUGAGCAAGUUCAAGCUAUCUUGGUUUAGGAGGACUACUAACAAAGAUCAGGAGUACCUGAGUAUAUAGAGAGGCCAUUCAUUAAUAAGUGGCCAAGGAAGGCCCAAGCCCUAGAGAAGACAGAUAAUAAGGAAGGAAUAUUAGUAAGGAAAGAAGGUUGGAUGGGAGGUUGGAAGGCAGAAUCCUGGACUAGCUCAUAGCUAAUUAAUAUAUAUGAAUGAGUUCCAAAAUGCAGGACUUGCUCAGUAACUUGAGACUAGGAUGAAAGGCUGGAAGACCUGAUUGAGAGUAUUAGGCUUCCUCGUAAGAAAGGUAGAGAACAGAGUUUACUUGAAGCUUCUCUGCAUUAAUAGAUAGAAUAUGGAACUAACCCAGUCGGAACUAACCCAGUGCUCUCUGAAAAUGCAAGUGAGAAUUCACCCCAUAUUGACUACCCCAUACAGGUGCUUUUCUCUCCAUUUCCUACCUAGGCAGGACUACUUACUUUAUUGGGCGAGGUCAACAGCCAAGCCGACAAACAACCAACUGAACCUUUCUUGCAGACAACAAGGGAAGGAAACCCGCCUAACAAAGGCAAAGAUCGGUGUGAGAAUCAUAGGCGUCAGUAAGCACUAACUAAAGGAAUAGCUGCUGGCCUGGUUGGUUACCAAUCUCUUAAUUGUCUAUAAGGCCCCAUUUUGGUGAGUUACCUGUUGCGCGGUAGCAAGUAAAAUAACGAGACUAAUUGCACUUUGAAGUUACUAAUUUCAUAGGCAGAGGAUAGGUCAGCAAGGUAAGAAAGAGAAUAAGGGUUGGUAGUAUAAGUA